rnacentral:rRNA from 1 species
CCUACGGGUGGCUGCAGUGGGGAAUAUUGGACAAUGGGGGCAACCCUGAUCCAGCCAUGCCGCGUGUGUGAAGAAGGCCCUCGGGUUGUAAAGCACUUUCAGUGAGGAAGAACGCCUGGUGGUUAAUACCCAUCAGGAAAGACAUCACUCACAGAAGAAGCACCGGCUAACUCCGUGCCAGCAGCCGCGGUAAUACGGAGGGUGCGAGCGUUAAUCGGAAUUACUGGGCGUAAAGCGCGCGUAGGUGGCUUGAUAAGCCGGUUGUGAAAGCCCCGGGCUCAACCUGGGAACGGCAUCCGGAACUGUCGAGCUAGAGUGCAGGAGAGGAAGGUAGAAUUCCCGGUGUAGCGGUGAAAUGCGUAGAGAUCGGGAGGAAUACCAGUGGCGAAGGCGGCCUUCUGGACUGACACUGACACUGAGGUGCGAAAGCGUGGGUAGCAAACAGGAUUAGAUACCCUGGUAGUC